AACGAACGCUGGCGGCGCGCCUAAUACAUGCAAGUCGAGCGAGAAGACGUAGCAAUACGUUUGUAAAGCGGCGAACGGGUGAGGAAUACAUGGGUAACCUACCCUCGAGUGGGGAAUAACUAGCCGAAAGGUUAGCUAAUACCGCGUACGCUCCUUGGACUUCGGUUCAGGGAGGAAAGCGAUACCGUGGGUAUCGCGCUCUUGGAUGGGCUCAUGUCCUAUCAGCUUGUUGGUGAGGUAACGGCUCACCAAGGCUUCGACGGGCAGCUGUUCUGAGAGGACGAUCAGCCACACUGGCACUGCGACACGGGCCAGACUCCUACGGGAGGCAGCAGUAAGGAAUAUUGCGCAAGUGGGACGAAAGCCUGACGCAGCGACGCCGCGGUGGGGGAU
rnacentral:rRNA from 1 species